rnacentral:rRNA from 1 species
GAUGAACGCUGGCGGCGUGCCUAAUACAUGCAAGUCGAGCGAAUGGAUUAAGAGCUUGCUCUUAUGAAGUUAGCGGCGGACGGGUGAGUAACACGUGGGUAACCUGCCCAUAAGACUGGGAUAACUCCGGGAAACCGGGGCUAAUACCGGAUAACAUUUUGAACCGCAUGGUUCGAAAUUGAAAGGCGGCUUCGGCUGUCACUUAUGGAUGGACCCGCGUCGCAUUAGCUAGUUGGUGAGGUAACGGCUCACCAAGGCAACGAUGCGUAGCCGACCUGAGAGGGCGAUCGUCAACACGCUGACUGAGACACGGCCCAGACUCCUACGGGAGGCAGCAGUAGGGAAUCUUCCGCAAUGGACGAAAGUCUGACGGAGCAACGCCGCGUGAGUGAUGAAGGCUUUCGGGUCGUAAAACUCUGUUGUUAGGGAAGAACAAGUGCUAGUUGAAUAAGCUGGCACCUUGACGGUACCUAACCAGAAAGCCACGGCUAACUACGUGCCAGCCGCCGCAGUAA